rnacentral:rRNA from 1 species
GUGUAACAACUCACCUGCCGAAGCAACUAGCCCUGAAAAUGGAUGGCGCUCUAGCGUCGUGCCUAUACCGGGCCGUCAACGGCAAAGUGGGCUAGUGUCCCGCCGGCUAAGGCCGGCGGGCUUGGCCGUUAAGCCUUGACGAGUAGGAGGCGCGCGGCGGUGUGCGCAGAAGGGUCUGGGCGCGAGCCUGCCUGGAGCCGCCGUCGGUGCAGAUCUUGGUGGUAGUAGCAAAUACUCUAGCGAGGGCCUGGAGGGCUGAUGUGGAGAAGGGUUUCUUGUGAACAGCCGUUGCACAAGAGUCAGUCGACCCUAAGCCCUAGGAGAAAUCCGAUGUUGAUGGGCAGCGAUCACGCGGCUGGUUCGGUCGGUCCGCCUCCUCAAAAGGGAGUGCGCCGAUGCAGGCCCACCGACUGCUCCCGUCGGGCGAAAGGGAAUCCGGUUCCUAUUCCGGAACCCGGCUGCGGAACCGUCACUUCGCGGGCACUCGCCUGCGAGCGCUCGUCGGGGUAACCCAAAAUGACCCGGAGACGCCGGCGGGAGGUCUGGAAAGAGUUGUCUUUUCUUUAUAAGCGUUCGAGUUCCCUGGAAUCCUAUAGCAGGGAGAUAGGGUUUGGAACGCGAAGAGCACCGCAGUUGCGGCGGUGUCCGGACCUUCCCCCCGGACCUUGAAAAUCCGGGUGAGGGCUACGCGGAAAUGUCGCGCCGGCUCGUACCCAUAUCCGCAGCAGGUCUCCAAGGUUAAGAGCCUCUAGUCGAUAGAAU